rnacentral:rRNA from 1 species
UACAGAGGGUGCAAGCGUUAAUCGGAAUUACUGGGCGUAAAGCGUGCGCAGGCGGCUCCUUAAGUCAGAUGUGAAAGCCCCGGGCUUAACCUGGGAACUGCGUUUGAAACUGGGGAGCUGGAGUGUAGAAGAGGGGGGUGGAAUUCCAGGUGUAGCAGUGAAAUGCGUAGAUAUCUGGAGGAACACCGAUGGCGAAGGCAGCCCCCUGGGCUAACACUGACGCUCAUGCACG